CAGCCGCCGCGGGAAUACGUAGGGUGCAAGCGUUGUCCGGAAUCAUUGGGCGUAAAGCGCGCGUAGGUGGCCAUUUAAGUCCGCUGUGAAAGUCAAAGGCUCAACCUUUGAAAGCCGGUGGAUACUGGAUGGCUAGAGUACGGAAGAGGCGAGUGGAAUUCCUGGUGUAGCGGUGGAAUGCGCAGAUAUCAGGAGGAACACCAAUAGCGAAGGCAGCUCGCUGGGACGUUACUGACACUGAGGCGCGAAAGCGUGGGGAGCGAACAGGAUUAGAUACCCCAGUAGUCCCUGUCUCUUAUAC
rnacentral:rRNA from 1 species